UACGUAGGGUGCAAGCGUUGUCCGGAAUUAUUGGGCGUAAAGAGCUCGUAGGCGGUUUGUCGCGUCGAAUGUGAAAACCCGGGGCUCAACCCCGGGACUGCAUUCGAUACGGGCAGACUAGAGUUCGGUAGGGGAGUCUGGAAUUCCUGGUGUAGCGGUGAAAUGCGCAGAUAUCAGGAGGAACACCGGUGGCGAAGGCGGGUCUCUGGGCCGAUACUGACGCUGAGGAGCGAAAGCGUGGGGAGCAAACAGG
rnacentral:rRNA from 1 species